rnacentral:lncRNA from 1 species
AGAAUUCCACGAGAGGGUUGGAUGUCGAAAAAGAUCAUUCCUCUCCAAAAGGAUUCUAGAGGGAAAUGAAUGCCAAACCGGGAAUGUCCCUACGUUGUAAAGAAGACAUUCUUCAGAAGAGCACUGAUCCUGAGUAAGAUUGCUAGUCCUAUAAACUCGGAUCCAGUCAAGAAAUACUUCUUUUAAAGAAGGAGAAAUAACCAAGGUGAAAACCCGCAAAGGGCACUCUGAGUAAAAAAAAAGAAAAAAAAGAAAAAUGAGAAUGAAAAAAAUGAAAAAUGGGAAUGAAAAAUGAAAAUGAAA